AAUAGAUGACGCCGUUGACUUUUUCUCACAUGUUUGACCAUUCGUCUUAUUUAAAAAAUUUACAUAAUAAUAAUUUAUUUUGGUAUGAGUUGUUUUAUCACUCAUAGUACUUUAAGUGUGAUUUAUAUCUUAUACAUUUGUAUAAAUUUUUUAAAUAAGAUGAAUGAUCAAACAUGUGAGAAAAAGUCAACGGCGUCAUCUAUU
rfam:Oryza rufipogon genomic scaffold, chr06